GACAGAGGGUGCAAACGUUGUUCGGAAUUACUGGGCGUAAGGCGCGUGUAGGCUGCUCUGCAAGUCGGAUGUGAAAGCCCUGGGCUCAACCUAGGAAGUGCAUUCGAAACUGCAGAGCUCGAGUCCUGGAGAGGAUAGCGGAAUUCUCGGUGUAGAGGUGAAAUUCGUAGAUAUCGAGAGGAACACCGGUGGCGAAGGCGGCUUUCUGGGUCCGCCCUGACGCUGAGGCGCGAAAGCGUGGGGAGCGAACGGGAUUAGAUACCCGGGUAGU
rnacentral:rRNA from 1 species